UGAGCGGAAAGGUCUUGAUAUGGUUCGUCGUGACUGGAGCUUACUGUCAAAGGAAUUAGGUGACUUCUGUCUUGCUCAUCUUUUCAGGAGGGUGGCCCUCAGAAUGAAGCAAAGUGAUUAUUCUACUGGUUGCUCGGCUGGCGACACUAUUCCAUAUAUAACACCCUGAUGAGUUGAAAAAGGACGAGGGGGAAUGGAUGAUCGACGUUGAUUAUUACUCGUCACAGCAGAUCCAUCCAUUUGUUUCUAGAUUAUGUGGUUCAAUACAAGGAACAAGCCCAGAACGGUUGGCUGAUUGUUUAGGACUUGACUCAUCAAAGUUCCAAAGAAAAUCAAGUGAGGCUUCAGCAAUGACACUGGUAAUGCUCUCAUGUUCGCUGUAGAUGAUGAGGACA